rnacentral:rRNA from 1 species
GACGUAGGGCGCAAGCGUUGUCCGGAUUUAUUGGGCGUAAAGAGCUCGUAGGCGGCUUGUUGCGUCGUCCGUGAAAACCCGCAGCUCAACUGCGGGCUUGCGGACGAUACGGGCAGGCUGGAGUUCGGUAGGGGAGACUGGAAUUCCUGGUGUAGCGGUGAAAUGCGCAGAUAUCAGGAGGAACACCGGUGGCGAAGGCGGGUCUCUGGGCCGAUGCUGACGCUGAGACGCGAAAGCGUAGGGAGCGAACAGG